GACGAACGCUGGCGGCGUGCUUAACACAUGCAAGUCGAACGGAAAGGCCCUGCUUUUGUGGGGUGCUCGAGUGGCGAACGGGUGAGUAACACGUGAGUAACCUGCCCUUGACUUUGGGAUAACUUCAGGAAACUGGGGCUAAUACCGGAUAGGAGCUCCUGCUGCAUGGUGGGGGUUGGAAAGUUUCGGCGGUUGGGGAUGGACUCGCGGCUUAUCAGCUUGUUGGUGGGGUAGUGGCUUACCAAGGCUUUGACGGGUAGCCGGCCUGAGAGGGUGACCGGCCACAUUGGGACUGAGAUACGGCCCAGACUCAUACGGGAGGCAGCAGUGGGGAAUAUUGCACAAUGGGCGGAAGCCUGAAGCAGCAACGCCGCGUGCGGGAUGACGGCCUUCGGGUUGUAAACCGCUUUCGCCUGUGACGAAGCGUGAGUGACGGUAAUGGGUAAAGAAGCACCGGCUAACUACGU
rnacentral:rRNA from 1 species